UAGGGAAUCUUCGGCAAUGGACGAAAGUCUGACCGAGCAACGCCGCGUGAGUGAAGAAGGUUUUCGGAUCGUAAAACUCUGUUGUUAGAGAAGAACAAGGACGUUAGUAACUGAACGUCCCCUGACGGUAUCUAACCAGAAAGCCACGGCUAACUACGUGCCAGCAGCCGCGGUAAUACGUAGGUGGCAAGCGUUGUCCGGAUUUAUUGGGCGUAAAGCGAGCGCAGGCGGUUUCUUAAGUCUGAUGUGAAAGCCCCCGGCGCAACCGGGGAGGGUCAUUGGAAACUGGGAGACUUGAGUGCAGAAGAGGAGAGUGGAAUUCCAUGUGUAGCGGUGAAAUGCGUAGAUAUAUGGAGGAACACCAGGGGCGAAGGCGGCUCUCUGGUCUGUAACUGACGCUGAGGCUCGAAAGCGUGGGGAGCAAACAGG
rnacentral:rRNA from 1 species